GCCGAGGUAGCUCAGUGGCAGAGCAGGGCUUUUGUAAAGCCAAGGUCGGAGGUUCAAAUCCUCUCCUCGGCU
rnacentral:tRNA from 1 species